GCCUGGGUGGCUCAGUCGGUUAAGCGUCCGACUUCAGCUUGGGUCAUGAUCUCGCAGUUCGUGGGUUCGAGCCCCACGUCUGGCU
rnacentral:tRNA from 1 species